rnacentral:snRNA from 1 species
AUGCUGGCUUCAGCAGCACAUAUACUAAAAUUGGAAUGAUACAGAGAAGAUUAGCAUGGCCCCUGUGCAAGGAUGACAUGCAAAUUCAUGAAGCAUUCUGAAAAAAU